CACGUAGUUAGCCGUGACUUUCUGGUUGAAUACCGUCACUGCGUGAACAGUUACUCUCACGCACGUUCUUCUUCAGCAACAGAGUUUUACGAGCCGAAACCCUUCUUCACUCACGCGGUGUCGCUCCAUCAGGCUUGCGCCCAUUGUGGAAGGUUCCCUACUGCUGCCCUCCCGUAGGAGUAUGGACCGUGUCUCAGUUCCAUUGUGGCCGAUCAGUCUCUCAACUCGGCUAUGCAUCAUUGCCUUGGUAGGCCAUUACCCUACCAACUAGCUAAUGCACCGCGGGCCCAUCCUGAAGUGAUAGACCGAAACCAUUCUUUACAAAUAGAAAACCAUGUUGGUUUUCGUUGUUAUGGUCGGUUAUUAGCACCUUGUUUACCAAAUUCGUUAACUCCCCCGCUUCGAGGGCUAGGUUCGCCCUACGGUUGUUACCUCCGACCCGUCCGCCGCUCCACGUGGUAACUCCAUCGUCUACUUCAGUCGCAAGCACGUCAGAUCGUAGGUUCGGGCCAGGUCG
rnacentral:rRNA from 1 species